rnacentral:rRNA from 1 species
GGUAAAGACGUGCGAGCAGACGAGGGAAGUGGGAGGUUCCAAGCGUUAACCGGAUUUAUUGGGCGUAAAGCGAGCGGAGGCGGUUUAUUAAGUCUGAAGUGAAAGCCCGCAGCUCAACGGAGGAAUUGCUUUGGAAACUGGAUGACUUGAGUGCAGUAGAGGGAAGUGGAACUCCAUGUGUAGCGGUGAAAUGCGUAGAUAUAUGGAAGAAUACCAGUGGCGAAGGCGGCUUUCUGGACUGUAACUGACGUUGAGGCUCGAAAGUGUGGGUUGCAAACAGGAUUAGAUACCCGAGUAGUC